GAAGAAAGAGUGUUUUUGUGUGUGCUGGGUUUUUGUUUUUGAAACCAGUGAAGGCAAUGCCCAGCCUGGAACCUUUAUUUGAUGGAGCACAAGGAGGUUAAGUGACUUGCUCAGGAUCACACAGUGAGUCAGUAGUGGCAGAGAGGAGUAAGGAGCCAGGGGCUGAAGCCACGGAGCCAGCCCAACCAGCUGAGCACAGCACUCCCCUCACAGCACCAGCACUCACCACAACCGCGCUGUCUGAAGAGCACAAUUUCGUUUGCGGGACUGUGGAUUGGGGAUUCAUUGUUAUUGUUUUGUUUUUGGCCUGCAGGCCAGCCAUGUUCCCCCGAUGCCAUCGCUGGUAGAGGG